rnacentral:lncRNA from 1 species
GUCGAUCGACAGGCACUGGAGGUUGUCGAGCGAUGGCGGCCUCUGUUUGUCGAUCGACGGGGGUGUCAUCGCGUCGAGCGAUUCUGACGUUAUCAGGGUUAGGCGGAUGUGGGUGUUUUGCUGUGAACUCCUCGUGAGUCAGAAUCCUCACGGCAUUGCAAGAUGCGAUCGAAUCCGCUGAUGUUAUCGGUCGAUGCUCUGGAGAUCCUGUCGAUCGAUUUGGACUGGUGUGUGUCGAU